UAUACUGGUGUAUGUAUGUUCAUAUGGAGGCACACCAAGGCCUUACAUACAGACGAGGGGGCAGUACGCUGAAACACUCAUGCAGAUAAUACAAGCAACGAUCCUCAACGAGGCGACUUCGGGGCCGCGACAUGGGGCAUCCAAAUUGGAGCGCUGCUCACAUGAUUUCUCGGACCCAUCCCCAUUCGUUCGUCCAGCUGCGCACCCAAACCAAACCGAACAUAACCGAACCGAAUCCGAUUCCGAAUCCGAUUCCGAGUCCGAAUCCGAGUCCAAAACCCCCGAGUGGAAUCCAAAAUCGGACGAGCAUCAUGUGGCCACCAUUUGUAGCUUGUCAUAGACUGAUGUGUUAAUAUGUUGUUUAAAAAUUUCCAAAAAAAAAAAAUAAAUAAAAAUUUAAAAAAUAACCCUAAAUACACACAUAUAUGAGAAAGAGAAAGGAAAAACAUUUGUGCAAAAUUCAAGAGCCAGCGAUGAAUGAUUGUUUGAUGGAUUAGUUGAAAGACAGACAUGUGGCCAAAUUUAAUAACAACGUUAAAGACAUUCCUCAACGGUUUUGUGACGAAGGUUAAAUGCCCUAGGGAAUGUAAUUAUCCAAGUUAUUUUCAGGCUUUCAAAAGCUUGUUUUGGAUUUUUAUCAAAGCCUGGACAAUACGAACUUACAAUGAAUCAGAAAUUCCCAGAUAAAGUCAACUAAUUCGGACUUCUGGUUAAAGUACUAUUUUGUACUAUCAUGUAAUAAAUAGAAAGAGGUGCUAGUGAUUGCCCACCCAAAUGGACUUUGUCAGCAGCCCUGAUCUUUGGGGCACUACGAGUACGUGAGCAUUUGAGGCCAGAAAGCCAGAUGCCAAAAGGCACAGGGCUGCUGACCCAAGAUGGCCAAGAUGGAGAUGGAGUACGGAGGAGAUCAGCGCGAAAACAAUUAUCGAAAGGCCGCUAAGUUGACUUAUCGCUCGAAGAGGCGGCUGCGUUGUUUGUUUAGAUAUUUUUGCCUUAGCUUUUAUUUUCAUUAUUUCUGAGGGAGCAGGGCAGGGAAGGGAUGGGGGGUAUGGGGGGGCGGGGCACUCGCUGGGAUCACAUGCUUUUUCAGCUACGCAAGCAAAACAAAAGCGAGCCACAGCCAAACAAUAUUAAGCAAAUAAAUACAUUCAUACAUAAAUACGGGCGGGCAUGCAUAAUGAACGAAGACAAGAACAACACACGCUUCCCCCGAUCCGCCGAUCAUAUAGCCCUCUCUUUCGGGGGUGGUUCUGUGCAGUGCAGAACUAUAUACACUAUACUAUAUAGGAAUAUUUUGAUUGAUACGGCCAGGUGUACUUAUGGGGGAUGUAAGGCGGAGUGGAGUGCCACUCGAGUGGGCACGGGCGUUAUCGGGCUUUGCCUGGAUUAUGUUUUGAUUAGCCCUUGGAUACUCCACUGCGCCACACUGAUUGAUAUGGGAAAUCGCUGGCAAUUGAUAUGUCCCAGACUUUUAGCUUUUGGCUUUUGGCUUUUGGCUAUUGGCACGGCCACCGUUCCACACACGAGCAUGCACAAUACAAAGCCAGAGUGAUAAACAGAGAGUAAAGGCGCACAAUUGUAAUUAAAUCAGCAUCUGUUAAUGACUUUACAGAGCGUGUCUGGCCGUCUGAUUCUCCCUGUCUGCGGAUUUUGCACUGAGAGAAACCAAAGCGCUCUAAAGCAUUUGUUCAUUUUUCGCUGCGGAAAUUUCUAGAGCUGCAAAAUUCCUUAGACUUUCUUACUUGGCAAAAUACAAGCACUUAGAUAUGUAAUCAAAUGAAACGAAGAACCUCGUUAACACUUUUUUAUGAGAGUUUGUAUGAAGAUUUCCACCAAUUUUAACCAAGGUUCGGCCUUCAAGGAUAGACUUCUUGCUAGCAGAUGCCACUUUUUCCCCCAGUGUUCGUCUUUCCGUGUGAGUGAGUGAAAGAGAGCGUGGCAAAUAAACACAGAUUUCCAAAGCGACGACAGCACAGCCAACAAAGCCUCUCGGGGCUGGCGGGGCGGGGCGGGAAGGCAAGGCGGCGGCAAAAGCGAAACAACAACCAGUUGCUCCAUCCAUACAACAAGUCACAUGACCCAACCAACCAACCAACCGACCGACCGACCGUCCAACAACGAUGAUGGCGAUGGCGAUGGAGACGUUGGCGUUUGGCUACGACAAUGGGUAUAUAUAAUGUAUAAAUAUAUAUAUAUACGGUAUAACGGCAGCUGCGCCCAGCAAAUUGACUAUCAUUAUCACAGGGCCCAUUAUAAGCAGUUAUGCACACACAAAUAAAUCCAGUAGACACACGUCCGCACAGUCGAACGACCUUCACCCCGUCCUUUUGGAUCGCGAAAAAUCGAAUGUCAAGUUCAAAGCAAUUGGCAAUAUCCCCAAAGGCCACUCGCACUCUUUGGAACACCACAAAUUUAUCAGUCAGCCAGCCAGGCAAACAAAAAAAAAAAAGAAGAAAUAAACUACAAAAAAUAAACACAAACAAGAGUCGUCGUCCGUCGUCGUCGUCGUCGUCGCAGCCGCUCACAAUACUAAUGAGCAAAUGACGACAAAAAUAUCGAGUGAUUUUCAUUGUCACUUGAGACCAAUGCAAACAGACCCGGAAAAGUCAGGUGGGGUGCCAAGAGGAGGAGGUGGAGGUGGAGGUAAGGACAGGCGCAAUCAAUCAAUGAAAGUUCCCAGGUAACCAGAGCCACACACAAGUGCCAGCAUUGUGCACUUGUUUCCACCUGGCAAACACAACGUGACUCAGGAACAAGCCAACUUCUGUCCAGGUGAGCUCAUGGCCCAAAUGUCAACAAGUCAAGAGUCAGAGUCACAGAAAGAUGACGGAAUACUAAAUACGGAAUACGGAAUUCGGAAUCCGGUGAUCGCACAUCAGCGAUGGUAUCAAACCUGAAAGCAAUACUUCCGUCAUCUGGCGAAUAAAUACAUAGAUCGUUACAGCAGCAGAAGGAAUCAGUAAAAAUGGUUUCAUUCAGCAAUCUGGGAUCAGGGAUUAAUGGAAACAUUUACAUUAACAAGCACGAUCGAAGGGAAAAUAAUAGCCGGACCUUGCAGAUAAGGCGGAACCACCAAGUGCCCUGUAAGCUACCAUAUAAGCAGUUUUACAACCCAGAAUCAUGUGGCUAGCUUGGUGAAAAAUUCCAUUUGCCGAUUGCUUAUUAAUAACGCAGUCCUUAUAACUUUUUUUCUUAGUAGACAUUAAAGUUCCUUUACAGAAAUUUGGUUCAUUGAAUGGAAUAAACUAAGCAAAGAAAUGUAUAAAUUAAGCAUAGAAACUAUGAUAUGAAUUAUGACCUAUUUGCAAUAUUUGCCUAAUACAAUAAUAAAUUGUGUUUUAUUGUCGGGCUUGUAAAUCAUAAUUUUACAAUCAAAUUUGUCUGUGGAGUCCUAAACUAAAGACCGCACAUAAAUCUCAAGCGAAGCAUAAAAAUGAUCUGUGAAGUUUAAAACCCAAGUUGAAUACCCUUAAAUCACAUUAGGUAUUCACUGUUUUAAGCUUUCUAUCUGGAAUUUAACGAUUCAAACAGUUAAGGUUCGGCGAAAAGGUAAUAAACAGAUAUAGUCAUCCUCAUUAUUCACACUUCUGUGUGCACAGCUCGCACAGUAUGAAUUUCCAUAAUUCCGUGAAGUAACAGGCGAGUGUAAUCUUAGGUGUUUUUGGCCAUAACCAUAAUGCCCCCGUGAUUCGAUGAGCGUUAGGAUUGUUAGGAUUGGGCCUAAGGCAAUGGCAAACAGUAGUUUAAGUAGAACCGUGUGCAUGGGCCAUUGAAAACUAUUCGGAAAUCCUGCCCCCCUGGAAUAUUUCACCUAUAAGGUGUCUCGUUGAGCUUCCGUUAAUGGAGCUCUGGGCUUAGGCACUUGGGGCUCUUAUUUUGUUUGUCCAGCUCAUUGAUACAAGGCGGCGGCAGGCAGUGGAAAACAAAAGCGUUUUGUCAACUGAUAAUGGGUGAAAACAGGGCCAUUCCACAGACAGAGAAGCGCUAAUGUCUACACUGCCAGAUAGCUAGAGUGAGAAUUCAAGUGCAAAUGCGAUUUGCCAUAUACUGAUAUGACACAACACCUUACCUGUAUCACACUUUGGAGUUAGGUCUUUAUAAUCCUCUAUUUCUAACAAUAAAUACCAUUGACAGCUCCAUAAUAAAAUUAUUUUGUUUUUUCUUUAACUCAAGUUCAAAUUAUUAAAGCUCAAUGUUAAUCCGAUUAGGAUAUCAAGCAAUAAGAAGUUUAGCAAUUGGGAAUUAUUAUUAUAAGAUGAAAAGAAAGAGAAAUUCAGCCUUGACAUCUAACAUAUUGUUCUUGUGUUUUGGAGAUAUGUAUUGUAUUAUUUUGUUUUAUUUAUUUGUGUUGAUACACACUUUUUGUUGAUAAUUAAAUUAACAUUUAAUUAAUAAAUAUUUAAUGCUGUGCUAAAAAAUGUGGUAAUAAUCGGAAUGAACUGGAUUAAUACAAUGUAAUUAUUUAAAUGGAAUGUACAUUUAGAUUUCUUGAUCAAUUUAUUUUAAAAUUGAAUAAGGUAAGCUUUGUUUUUCCAAGUGCACCUGCUAUCGGAACGGGUCCCGAGGCAACAACAAAAACUGGAUACGCGACGUCGUCGACGAAUCACUACUCAUAUGACUUGGCAGACCACGCGACUUCGCACAUGAAGCACCACAUCACCACACCGCCGCACCGCCACAUCGUCACAUCGCCACCUAGUCCCCCCCUUCCCUUCCACUCGAAGUGCUGCCAUUUAAAUGUGCUGAUUUCUGUUUGCACAUAACUAAAGUUUGUGUGCCGACUGCUCCGCAGGCAAAAACGCGUACAUAUUUAAUUGCACUGAUGAUGUUGACGGAUGGUGGAUGGUGUGGGGGGCAGGCAGGGCAGGGGAUCCAUGUGAUAGGUAUAACACCUCUCCUGACUUGUGGCCCACGGCCCACAGCAAACUAGAGCCAGACACCCAGGCACCUGGCCAAUUACUAUACUACUCUAUUACGGUUCGUCGCAUCGUAACGCUACGGCCCAUGUAAUAAGUUCACACCUGCUGCGAUCCAACCACUUUGAUUGAUGUCUGGCCGGCCGGCUUGCCGGCGACUGUUUGGCCAUUCAAUUGGCGGGCAGUUAUCAAAAACUAUUAAUGAAUUCUCGUUCCCUCCCCAAUUUACGACUCAUUUGCCUAAGGCUCUAAGUGAAAUCAUCCAUAAUGGUUCAUUCAGAGCGGUGAAUUUUUUUGUGGAAGAUUGAUAUGUGUGGCUUUGUUUGAUCGCCAAUCGAACGCGAUUUUAUUGUGUGCCACACGUGCCUGAAGCCCUCGGCCCACGGACCAUAAUGAGACUUUGUUGGGCCAAAGUUUUCCACAAAAGGUGCUAAUUCGCUGGAUUUGCGUAGCUGGAUGCGAUGCGAUGAGAUGUGGUGGGUAUUCGUAUUCAUGUGAAAGUCCAGCGAUCGAUCGACAGCUUGCGAAUCGCACUUCGUAGAUCGCAAGGCGAUUGUGCGAGUACGAAAUCACAGUUUGUAUAUAGCCUGAAAUCCCCGGACUUAUCGGGAAUUAAUACCAGCUCGCUAAUAACGGAUAUAUGUAUUUUUGGACGCCAUAUGUGGUGGAUAUCGGGCGAAUGACUUGCGAAUUGGGUUAAGGAAUGCGCGCCUUCAAAGGCACAUGAUGCCAGGCGUCUGGUUUUGGAUUUAUUCGCUUUUGUGUCAUGCAUACACUUCGAGGCGAAUUUAAGCAAAAAACUGUCAUGUGACUAACUGGCUAGCAAAUGUCUAAACAUGGUCAUGACGACGGGGUCCAAAGGAAAUGAUUCACCCCUUCCCGCACGAUUGAUUCACCCCAGGUGUCCGGACCUUGAUUUCCAGCAUUUCACCAUUUCACAAUUUCUUAAUUAUACACAAGUGUCAUGAGUUUUUGGUGUUAUUUUCUUUAUUUUUUUUAUUUUCGCCAGCUUUUUUAUUCUUAGCUCUCUCGGCCUAUCAGAGGAGACCGAAAGUAUUUUUAAAUCAUUUCUUUUGUGCCCCGUGGAAAUAUGAACGAUAAGUGGAGGUUCAGAUUCUGUCGUGGAAAUUUACCCAAGCGUGCUGUCGUAAUUUAUUGUCGUCACCCAACUAAAUUAAGCAAAUAAACAAAUACAUUUAUUUGGCCCGAGUGGAGUUUUUAACUGCUAUUAGUGUAAACGUUUGUUUAGUUUACAGCGAAACCGAAAAAACCUGACCUAGUACAAAGAUAGCGGCGAAUAGGGGGUGUUUCGGGGGCUAAUUUGAGGGGGAGUUAGUCGGACCGGCUGUCUACACCUUACAGGUUUUUGCAUUUAUUGUUAGAAUUAUUCUCCAAGUGUGAGAGCGUGUGUGCCUGUGGGCAAAGUGCAAAAACCCCAAAAGCUGGCGACGCUUAAUUAGCAGAGUGAAAAGUUUCUAUCACGUGAUGGCGAUGGCGAAUGUUGGCGACAAGCGCGGCCAUAAAUGUAUAUACGGCCCGAAUAUUGGUCAAUACACACUCGAAUCUGACAAUUUCACCAUUAUGCUAUAUAUAUUUUAAACGCCAGCUUGGCGUCUGACCGAUAAGGCGGCCGAUUGACAGCGUCGACGAGGCGCUAAUCGAGUUAGCCGGGCAACGGGGGCCCUCAGCUUAGUGGCCCCAAAAAUAAAUGGGCAAACGAUUGAAAUAUUUUAUGGGCCAUGUCAGCAAUGGUCUCCGAAAUUCGUUAUCCAUUAGGUUUUUUUGCAUAUCGACAGUUUGAUAUCAUCGUGAGUGGUUGAAAUACGGGUUUAGAUCGUUAUCAAACUGAAGUGAUUAGAACUUGUAUUAAAUAAAUGCGAAUACGAAAACGAAUUUCGUUGUAUAGAGAGAUUUAUAACAGAGAAAACGGAUCUAAUAUUCUAACUAUGUUUGUUAAGCUGAGAAACAAAGAGCAUCGGUUAAAAAAUAAUACAAGAAAAGCAGAACGCAUCCUUGAAACUGAAUAGCUCUCUUGCCAACUUUAUGUACAUUAAAACCUUCAUAAAACUAAACAAACAAAUAAGUUUUCGGAGAACUGUAAUCUUAUCCGCUUUGAUUUCGCUAAAAUGUUAUACGAAACAGUAAGAGGUGUCAGUGAUAUUGCGUUCCUAGAAAAGCGGUCGUAGGUGUUUCCGCCAGUUAACCGUUAACAAAGCAUCCCGCAAUCACAGUCCCAUUCACACUCGCAGUCACAGCAACAGCAACAGGAACCAAAACCACAAUCAGAGCCCACGCACAAGUCAAGCAAAGUGUCAGAUAUAAACAUUGUAAAGCGUAUGCAGCAGCAUACAUAAGUAAAUAGUGUAAUAAAUAAUAAUGAAAUGAGAAUUAAGCGAAAAGGCAACAAAAACAAUGCGCCGCGCCAACAACAAAAUGUGUAUGACAUAAUAAUCACGAGAGCAGGCCGCGACCGCCGAUUAGCAAGUCAUGUGAUUCGCUUUUAUUUACAUUUGCGCCUGACGUUGCCUCCGCCUUACCCCGCCACGCCCCCGUAAAAGUGUACCAACGUUCGCCUACGUCUGCGUGAGUGCGAGCGAGAGGGUUAGCGCGCACGAAGCGAUAACGAUGAGAGCCGAGAACGAACCGAUCGAUCUUGGGCCAGAGAGGAGAGGUGCAAAAGGCGUGGGGAGAGGCAGAGCAUAGU